rnacentral:lncRNA from 1 species
AGUAUAGUAGAGGGAUCAAAAAUAAUUUGACCAUCAUCUUAUAAUGGAUAAAAAGAGAGAGAAAAGAAUGAAGUUGAGGAAAAUGUCCAUUUCAACCUAGCCAGCCGAUAUAUAUGUCCAAAUUACACGACAUUAUGUCCAAGUCGUACCUUCGGUUGAAAUGUCAACUACAAACGACAACAUUGAAAACCAAGCACUAACCGGAGUGUUCAAUAAGUUUAUACGUCUUAAUUAAAUUUAUUAAUUUGCAAACUGAAAAUUGUGACUAAAGCGAUGCUUGGAUAUAUGGCCAUAAAUUCAGAAGUCUUCAUCUUAGUCUUUACCUUCUUCCACAUUGUAUUUUAUAUAUAGAGCAUAGAUAUACAAUAUUUUAGCUUGGUUGUGAUGGGUGUCGAAUCCACCAAUAUAAACCUACGCCUUAGUUUACAAAUUAUGCAGUAUAGGGAGUAAGGUCGAUCCCUCAGAGACUGGUUUACUGUAAAUUGUUGCUCGCUUGACCAGAUUUAUGUCGGGGCAGCUAUCUUGCCCAAGACGUUUGGGGGGAUAAAAAUUUGAAAACCUGAAAUUAACAGAAAAAUAACGUCAAAAGUAAAAGUUGAAAACAGAAUAAUAAAAACUGUGAAAUAAAUAUUAAGAAAAUUAAUUAGAAUGAGCUCAGCUUUAGGCGCAAAUUUUCCUCGUCUUUGAACCGAUCCUCGAAAUUGGAUGAACUCCUCUUUUCCAAUAAGCUAGUUAUAGCUACCAAGGACGCCUCGGACACCAACUCUUCCUUGUGUAAAUUAGUUAUGGAACGUCCAAUAACUAACCCUUACCGAUCGAACAACCACGAAACGUUCGUGAUUUAGAACUCCGGCAGCUUUGCGUUCUAGGAAGAGCCUAGCUCGAACCAGUGCCCUCAACCGCGUGGGGCAUUUAAAUUCGGUUACUACCUCCC